UUGCAGCCUGCAACUCGGCUGCAUGAAGCCGGAAUCGCUAGUAAUCGCGGAUCAGAAUGCCGCGGUGAAUACGUUCCCGGGUCUUGUACACACCGCCCGUCACACCAUGGGAGUCGGAAAUGCCCGAAGUCUGUGACCCAACCUUAGGGAGGGAGCAGCCGAAGGCAGGUCGGAUGACUGGGGUGAAGUCGUAACAAGGUAUC
rnacentral:rRNA from 1 species